UAGGGUUCGAUUUCGGAGAGGGAGCAUGAGAAACGGCUGCCACAUCUAAGGAAGGCAGCAGGCGCGUAAAUUACCCAAUCCUGACUCAGGAAGGUAGUGACAAGAAAUAGCAAACCGGGAACCUCAUGGUUUCACGGUAUUGCAAUGAGAACAAUUUAAAACCCUUAGCGAGAAUCAAGUGGAGGACAAGUCUGGUGCCAGCACCCGCGGUAAUUCCAGCUCCACUAGCGUAUACUAAAGUUGUUGCAGUUAAAAAGCUCGUAGUUGAACCUCUGUCUGGGGCUAGUUUUGGCUUUGGUCAGGCUAGUUCUAGGCAUCCGCCUACAAGACUUAGAGGGCAUUCAGUUGUUCACUAGGAGGAGUAGGCAUUUUACUUUGAAAAAAUUAGAGUGUUUAAGGCUGGCAAUCGCCCGCAUAUAUUAGCAUGGAAUAAUAGAAUAGGACACUUUUCCAUUUCGUUGGUUAUUGGAAUCGUGUAAUGAUUAAUAGGGACAGUUGUGGGCAUUUGUAUUUAAUUGUCAGAGGUGAAAUUCUUGGAUUUAUUAAAGACAAACUAACUCGAAAGCAUUUGCCAAGGAUGUUUUCAUUAAUCAAGAACGAAAGUUAGGGGAUCAAAGACGAUCAGAUACCGUCCUAGUCUUAACUAUAAACUAUUCCGACUCAAUGUUUGACUGGCUUAUAUAACCAGUUGAGCGUUGUAUGAGAAAUCAAAGUCUUUAGGUUCUGGGGGGAGUAUGGUUGCAAAGCUGAAACUUAAAGGAAUUGACGGAAGAGCACAACCAGGAGUGGAUUCUGCGGCUUAAUUUGACUCAACACGGGGAAACUUACCAGGUUAAAACAAUAGUGGGAUUGACAGUUUGAGAGCGCUUUCUUGAUUGGUUGGGUGGUGGUGCAUGGCCGUUCUAAGUUGGUGGAGUGAUUUGUCUGCUUAAUUGCGUUAACGAACGAGACCUUAACCUGCUUACUAGACUGGCAUCAUCAAUCGUUAGCUCUUCUUAGAGGGACUUUGGUUGUUUUAACUCCAAGGAAGUUUGAGGCAAUAACAGGUCUGUGAUGCCCUUAGAUAUCCUGGGCCGCACGCGUCAUACAAUGACUAGUUCAGAAAGUUUUCUCCUGACCCGAAAGGGGAUGGGUAAUCUUGAUAAUACUAGUCGUGUUAGGGAUCGAUCUUUGCAAUUAUAGAUCUUGAACGAGGAAUUCCUAGUAAGUGCGGUUCAUCAGACCGUACUGAUUACGUCCCUGCUCUUUGUACACACCGCCCGUCGCUUCUACCGAGUGGGUGGUCCGGUGAGAUAAUUGAACUUCGCAGGUAACUGAGAGGAAAGAUUAUCAAACCUAUCCACCUCGAGGAAGAAGAAGUCGUAACAAGGUU
rnacentral:rRNA from 1 species